rnacentral:lncRNA from 1 species
AAAUAUUAAUAAUAUUUAAUAUUAAUAUAUUGAUUCUAUUAUAUAUAUAUUAAAAUAGAGGCAUCAGUCAUUGCUCCCUAUGUAUUCAUUUUUCUCCAAUGUAGUAUCUGCCAUGUGGCCAUAAGGAGCUUUUUUUUUCUUCGAAGUUUCACCCCCCAUUCUUUCCAUAGCUUCCUCAUUCCCCUCUUGUCUUCUUGGUCAAGAUUGGAAUGACCAGAGUUUGGACAACCACCUCCUCCCUGCUCGCAAAGAUCGAAAGCAUGCCCACCCAGGCCCCACAAUUACCACUGAGAUAGGGGCAUCGACGGUGGCUAUGGAGAUGACAUCAGUGGUGAGGGUUGGGUCACUAGUGGCCAUGUUGAUAAGGAUGGAGCUUGAGGACAAGCCUUGAGAGGUUGUUGAUGGUGGCAUCGAAGGCGAUGCGACGGACAUCGACGGGAUAGUCGAUGAUGGGGAAGAUGACAUCACUAGCAAAGAUGAUGGUGGAGGGCAUUCAGCAUGGCAGGCACCACAAUCGAUGAGGGGUUGUGCACCACAAAGAAAAAAGGAAAAAAAGAUUAAAGUUUAGAUUUUUAAUUUUUUUUAAAAUUUAGAUCUCCAAAUUUUUAUACAAAAAGAAAGAGAUUUUUUUUGUAAUUUCUAAAGUUUAAAUCUCUCACAAGCCAUACACACUUACAUAUAUUUUUGCUAAAUCCUCAGCUUGAAGAUGCUACUAUCAUUGGUGGCAGUGAUGGUCGAUGGACAACAUCAUUUGCUCUACUAUUGGAAGACUAGAGGGUGUACAAGGAGAUGAUCAAAGAAUGUCGGCAACAUUGUCAACUGUACUAUUCAGAUAGUUG